rnacentral:rRNA from 1 species
AGAGUUUGAUCAUGGCUCAGGACGAACGCUGGCGGCGUGCCUAAUACAUGCAAGUAGAACGCUGAAGAGAGGAGCUUGCUCUUCUUGGAUGAGUUGCGAACGGGUGAGUAACGCGUAGGUAACCUGCCUUGUAGCGGGGGAUAACUAUUGGAAACGAUAGCUAAUACCGCAUAACAAUGGAUGACCCAUGUCAUUUAUUUGAAAGGGGCAAAUGCUCCACUACAAGAUGGACCUGCGUUGUAUUAGCUAGUAGGUGAGGUAACGGCUCACCUAGGCGACGAUACAUAGCCGACCUGAGAGGGUGAUCGGCCACACUGGGACUGAGACACGGCCCAGACUCCUACGGGAGGCAGCAGUAGGGAAUCUUCGGCAAUGGGGGCAACCCUGACCGAGCAACGCCGCGUGAGUGAAGAAGGUUUUCGGAUCGUAAAGCUCUGUUGUAAGUCAAGAACGAGUGUGAGAGUGGAAAGUUCACACUGUGACGGUAGCUUACCAGAAAGGGACGGCUAACUACGUGCCAGCAGCCGCGGUAAUACGUAGGUCCCGAGCGUUGUCCGGAUUUAUUGGGCGUAAAGCGAGCGCAGGCGGUUUGAUAAGUCUGAAGUUAAAGGCUGUGGCUCAACCAUAGUUCGCUUUGGAAACUGUCAAACUUGAGUGCAGAAGGGGAGAGUGGAAUUCCAUGUGUAGCGGUGAAAUGCGUAGAUAUAUGGAGGAACACCGGUGGCGAAAGCGGCUCUCUGGUCUGUAACUGACGCUGAGGCUCGAAAGCGUGGGGAGCGAACAGGAUUAGAUACCCUGGUAGUCCACGCCGUAAACGAUGAGUGCUAGGUGUUGGAUCCUUUCCGGGAUUCAGUGCCGCAGCUAACGCAUUAAGCACUCCGCCUGGGGAGUACGACCGCAAGGUUGAAACUCAAAGGAAUUGACGGGGGCCCGCACAAGCGGUGGAGCAUGUGGUUUAAUUCGAAGCAACGCGAAGAACCUUACCAGGUCUUGACAUCCCGAUGCUAUUUCUAGAGAUAGAAAGUUACUUCGGUACAUCGGUGACAGGUGGUGCAUGGUUGUCGUCAGCUCGUGUCGUGAGAUGUUGGGUUAAGUCCCGCAACGAGCGCAACCCCUAUUGUUAGUUGCCAUCAUUCAGUUGGGCACUCUAGCGAGACUGCCGGUAAUAAACCGGAGGAAGGUGGGGAUGACGUCAAAUCAUCAUGCCCCUUAUGACCUGGGCUACACACGUGCUACAAUGGUUGGUACAACGAGUUGCGAGUCGGUGACGGCAAGCUAAUCUCUUAAAGCCAAUCUCAGUUCGGAUUGUAGGCUGCAACUCGCCUACAUGAAGUCGGAAUCGCUAGUAAUCGCGGAUCAGCACGCCGCGGUGAAUACGUUCCCGGGCCUUGUACACACCGCCCGUCACACCACGAGAGUUUGUAACACCCGAAGUCGGUGAGGUAACCUUUUGGAGCCAGCCGCCUAAGGUGGGAUAGAUGAUUGGGGUGAAGUCGUAACAAGGUA